GACGAACGCUGGCGGCGUGCUUAACACAUGCAAGUCGAACGGAAAGGCCCUGCUUUUGUGGGGUGCUCGAGUGGCGAACGGGUGAGUAACACGUGAGUAACCUGCCCUUGACUUUGGGAUAACUUCAGGAAACUGGGGCUAAUACCGGAUAGGAGCUCCUGCUGCAUGGUGGGGGUUGGAAAGUUUCGGCGGUUGGGGAUGGACGCGCGGCUUAUCAGCUUGUUGGUGGGGUAGUGGCUUACCAAGGCUUUGACGGGUAGCCGGCCUGAGAGGGUGACCGGCCACAUUGGGACUGAGAUACGGCCCAGACUCCUACGGGAGGCAGCAGUGGGGAAUAUUGCACAAUGGGCGGAAGCCUGAUGCAGCAACGCCGCGUGCGGGAUGACGGCCUUCGGGUUGUAAACCGCUUUCGCCUGUGACGAAGCGUGAGUGACGGUAAUGGGUAAAGAAGCACCGGCUAGCUACGUG
rnacentral:rRNA from 1 species